rnacentral:rRNA from 1 species
GACGAACGCUGGCGGCGUGCCUAAUACAUGCCAGUAGAACGCACAGUUUAUACCGUAGCUUGCUACACCAUAAACUGUGAGUUGCGAACGGGUGAGUAACGCGUAGGUAACCUGCCUGGUAGCGGGUGAUAACUAUUGGAAACGAUAGCUAAUACCGCAUAAUAUUAAUUAUUGCAUGAUAAUUGAUUGAAAGAUGCAAUUGCAUCACUACCAGAUGGACCUGCGUUGUAUUAGCUAGUAGGUGAGGUAACGGCUCACCUAGGCGACGAUACAUAGCCGACCUGAGAGGGUGAUCGGCCACACUGGGACUGAGACACGGCCCAGAUUCCUACGGGAGGGAGCAGGAGGGAAUCUUCGGCAAUGGACGAAAGGCUGAACGAGCAACGCCGCGGGAGGGAAGAAGGGUUUCGGAUCGGAAAGAUCUGUUGUAAGAGAAGAACGGGUGUGAGAGUGGAAAGUUCACACUGUGACGGUAUCUAACCAGAAAGGGACGGCUAACUACGUG